UACGUAGGGCGCAAGCGUUGUCCGGAAUUAUUGGGCGUAAAGAGCUCGUAGGCGGUCUGUCGCGUCGGAUGUGAAAGCCCGGGGCUUAACCCCGGGUCUGCAUUCGAUACGGGCAGACUAGAGUGUGGUAGGGGAGAUCGGAAUUCCUGGUGUAGCGGUGAAAUGCGCAGAUAUCAGGAGGAACACCGGUGGCGAAGGCGGCAUCCUGGACCGGUAUUGACGCUGAGGCGCGAAAGCCAGGGGAGCAAACGGG
rnacentral:rRNA from 1 species